rnacentral:rRNA from 1 species
CCUACGGGAGGCAGCAGUGAGGAAUAUUGGUCAAUGGGCGGGAGCCUGAACCAGCCAAGUCGCGUGAGGGAAGACGGUCCUAUGGAUUGUAAACCUCUUUAGGCGGGGAGUAAUGCCGGGCACGCGUGCCCGGAGGGAGAGUACCCGCAGAAUAAGCAUCGGCUAACUCCGUGCCAGCAGCCGCGGUAAUACGGGGGAUGCGAGGGUUAUCCGGAUUGAUUGGGUUAAAGGGGUGCGUAGGCGGAUUUUUAAGUCAGCGGUAAAAUGUCCGGGCUCAACCCGGGCCGGCCGUUGAAACUGGGGAUCUAGAGUGGGCGAGAGGUAUGCGGAAUGCGUGGGGUAGCGGUGAAAUGCAUAGAUAUCACGCAGAACACCGAUGGCGAAGGCAGCAUACCGGCGCCCGACUGACGCUGAGGCACGAAAGCGUGGGGAUCGAACAGGAUUAGAUACCCCUGUAGUC